UAACUAAAAGGGGCCAAGGUACAGCU
rnacentral:piRNA from 1 species